GAACAUGGCUUUGAGUUCUCUCCGUGGAGAAACAGAAAAGCUGGAGCAUUUAUCCACCAAUCCCUGGUCUGCCAGUUGGUUGAGGGCUACUUCCAGGGACGUGAACUCCUUAGGACUCUGGUUUGUCUUGCCUGUACCCACAGCCACGGGAGGAUCUAAGCCCCUUUGGGUAUUCAGACACCGACCAACUAAAGCCAGAGAAUUGACAAUAUUGACCGUUGCUGGCCUUCAUGACUUUGACCUGAACUCUGUCCCCUUAAAAUGACUUUUGCCCCAAUUCCAUGCUGGAUUCCCCAUUGGGCAAGCUGAUUCAUGAACAGGUUCCCUGGGUCCUGCUGGCUUGAGGGCCACAUGAGGAAUGCCCUCCAAAGCUCACCCCCAGCAUGUGAGCUCAGGAACAGCAGAGCCUUUGGCUUGUUGGGCUGCAUUGUUCACCAUGGCCUGUAUUGUGUUGGGGUUCCCCUGGUGUCCCCAGACUGGGUUUUUCUCAUGGGCUGAAAGAUCAUGUAUGGAUGAGGCUUCCACUUGGGAAAACAAGUUCCUGCUCUUCUAGUUUCCAGAAAGGGUACUUUGACACCUUGUCAGACUGUUUGCAUUUGGAAUAUGCACUCAGGUAUGUUUCCAAGGAAGAGGGUGGGGGACACAUCCACAGGCAUGGCUGGGUCCCCAGAUUGGAGCUGGAGCAGAGAAGGAGCCUGGAUGACAUGCCUGCGAGAGACCACCUGUCUCAGGGCCCCUAGAUGUGGUUCCUCAAGCAAAGAUUCCUUGGGCGUCAUGGACCAUCUGCCUCCUCCUAUGGAUGUCUUCAGCAUCAUCUCUCUCCCUCUCCCGCAGCAAGAGGGCUUGAUCAAGGUAUCUUUGAUUGAAUUAGUAGCUCCUGAAGCACAGUGUAAGAUAAAAUUGGGGACACAGUGUAAAUGAGAACAUGAAAAGAUUUACUAUAUUAGAUGUUCAUUGUGGUAACAUGGAAAUGUGACGGGAUAACUUAUGGGGAUUGCUCUGGGCUUUGUUGAUGCUGCUAUAGUGGGGUCAGAAAGUGCAAUCUGCUUUGGUUUUCAGUGUUUUCUUCCUGUCCACCCCCCUUUCCAGGUGGGUGUCUUCUUGCCUCCCCUGGAGUGAA